UUUUGUUUCUUUUGGUUCUUUCUCUCCUCUUCUUGGUGAGUCUGGCCAGAGGUCUUGUUUACCCUUUCAAAGAACCAGAUCUUGGUUUUGGUUUUAUUGAUUUUUUUUCUAUUGUUUCUGGAUCUCUAAUUUUAUUGAUUUCCUCUCUGAUCUUUAUGAUUUCCUUCCUUCUGCUGACUUUAGGUUUUGUUUGUUCUUCUUUUUCUAAGUACUUUAAGUAGUUAAGUUAUGCUACUGAUUUGAGAUUUUUCUUCUUUUUUGAGGAAAGCCUGUAUUGUUAUGAACUUCCCUCUAAGAACUGCUUUUGCAGCAUCCCAUAGGUUUUGAAUGGUUGUGUUUUCAUUAUCAUUUGUCUUGAGGUUUUUCUGUGUGUGUGUGUUUGUCUUUUUAGGGCCACACCCAUGGCAUGUGGAGGUUCCCAGAUUUUGAGGAUUUUUUUUUACAUUUUCCUUAAAUAAAAUAAAUUAAUUAAGUUUUAACAUGACAGAAUGAAGGCCUCGUGGAGUGAAGUGAGAAUACAGAGGAUGGAUUACCCAAGUCGGCUUGGACAAAUCGAGGAAAGCUUUGCAGAGAAGGUCGUCUAUCAACUGAGAUUAGGCAGGAACUUCUACUUCGUGAAGGCUGGGGUGUAAACAGCAGAAAAGGACAUUUUAUUUCGAAUAAUUUCUACUGAAAUCAGUAGUACUCAAAGCUUAGUUCUCAGACCUCUGGUGGUCUACAAACUGCUGUGAGGCUGUGUCAGGAUGAAUACAAAAAUAGACAAUCAGUGUUUAGAAACCUUUAUGGAAAUCUGACAGAGUAAUUUUAUGUCUGUUGAAUCUAAUUUUUAAAAUUACAGCUCGUUUUAUAUUUCAUUUCUCUAGUUAUUCAUUUUUAUUAUAUUUGCUAAAGUACUGGUUUACAACAAAUUGAAGAGAAUUUUAAACAGAAAUAGUUUGAGUAAUAUUAUUAAAUGCAUCCAAUUCUGACUAUAACUCUCAAAUUGUUCACUCUUUGCAGCUUCUUUUUGUAUUUAGAGUGAACUCAAAAGGCCUAUCCCCUGACUUAAGGAAGAACCUCAUGUAUCAAUUAGAGGAUGAUCCAUUUUAUUUAAGAAUCAUGCUAACAAUUCAGCUAUGCUGACCAAACUCCUUAAGCAUCUUAGCGGAGUGAGGAACAGCUGGUUCACAUUCUUUGGCACAUGUUAUCAAAAGUAGAAGCAACUAGAUGCUAAUAGAAUACUAUUUCGUUUUAUUUUUCUAAUACUUGAAGACAUUAAUCCUCAUACUACUUUUUUGUGAGGCCAGUCUUGCACCUCUUCAGAAUCGUCUUUAAUCAAAGCACACAAGUACCUCCAGAAAUAAGGCAGUUUUGUGCAGAUAUAAAUUCAAAUAAAGACAGGUCUUCACUAUCUAAAAACUUAUGCUCUAAAAUAGAAAAUGCACAGUGAAUGUUUACUCCUGAUAUAAAAAGGAUUCUUCUGUCCCCAGACCAUGAAACCAAAACAAAGUUUUAAUAUGCAAAGAAUCAUGUAAAACAGGCAUGUAAACUCAGAAAUAAAACCUCAAGUCAGAAUCUUUCACCAAAAUCUUUAGACCACAUACUGUUUGUUCUUAACUCUGCCAAACAGUUCAUUCAAGUUAAUGACGGAUUCUCUGCUGUCAAUCUUAUCCACAGCUCUUUUUAGAUUUCAAUGAAAAUUUAAAUUUACAAAUAUCAGGGAAGUCCCACUGUGGCACAGUGGUUUAUGAAUCCAAUUGCAGUGGCUCAGGUCACUGCAGAGGCACAGGUUCAAUCCUUGGCCUGGCACAGUGGAUUAAGGAUCCAGAAUUGCCUCAGCUGCAGCUCGGAUUCAAUUGCUGGCCUGGGGAACUUCCAUAUGCCAUGGGUGCAGCAAAAUUAAUAAAUAAAUAGUAAUAAUCCAUAAAAGUUUAAUCAAAUAUACAAUCAGAAUGUAAGUUGAAAGAUUUUACUAUUUCUAGGUUUCAUAUAAACAUGCUUUGUGACAGGAAAUACUUUAAUCUGUGAAGUAAAAUUACUUUAGUGAUAUUCUUUUUGAUGACAUAAUUA
rnacentral:lncRNA from 1 species